AGGUGAAGUGAUUUACUCAUGGAGCUGAAGUCAGUCGAAGAUACCAGCUGGCUGCAACUGUUUAUUAAAAACACAGCACUGUGCAAACACGAAAGUGGACGUAUACGGUGUGACGCCUGCCCGGUGCCGGAAGGUUAAUUGAUGGGGUCAGCGCAAGCGAAGCUCCUGAUCGAAGCCCCGGUAAACGGCGGCCGUAACUAUAACGGUCCUAAGGUAGCGAAAUUCCUUGUCGGGUAAGUUCCGACCUGCACGAAUGGCGUAAUGAUGGCCAGGCUGUCUCCACCCGAGACUCAGUGAAAUUGAACUCGCUGUGAAGAUGCAGUGUACCCGCGGCAAGACGGAAAGACCCCGUGAACCUUUACUAUAGCUUGACACUGAACAUUGAGCCUUGAUGUGUAGGAUAGGUGGGAGGCUUUGAAGUGUGGACGCCAGUCUGCAUGGAGCCGACCUUGAAAUACCACCCUUUAAUGUUUGAUGUUCUAACGUGGACCCGUGAUCCGGGUUGCGGACAGUGUCUGGUGGGUAGUUUGACUGGGGCGGUCUCCUCCUAAAGAGUAACGGAGGAGCACGAAGGUUGGCUAAUCCUGGUCGGACAUCAGGAGGUUAGUGCAAUGGCAUAAGCCAGCUUGACUGCGAGCGUGACGGCGCGAGCAGGUGCGAAAGCAGGUCAUAGUGAUCCGGUGGUUCUGAAUGGAAGGGCCAUCGCUCAACGGAUAAAAGGUACUCCGGGGAUAACAGGCUGAUACCGCCCAAGAGUUCAUAUCGACGGCGGUGUUUGGCACCUCGAUGUCGGCUCAUCACAUCCUGGGGCUGAAGUAGGUCCCAAGGGUAUGGCUGUUCGCCAUUUAAAGUGGUACGCGAGCUGGGUUUAGAACGUCGUGAGACAGUUCGGUCCCUAUCUGCCGUGGGCGCUGGAGAACUGAGGGGGGCUGCUCCUAGUACGAGAGGACCGGAGUGGACGCAUCACUGGUGUUCGGGUUGUCAUGCCAAUGGCACUGCCCGGUAGCUAAAUGCGGAAGAGAUAAGUGCUGAAAGCAUCUAAGCACGAAACUUGCCCCGAGAUGAGUUCUCCCUGAGACUUUAGGUCUCCUGAAGGAACGUUGAAGACGACGACGUUGAUAGGCCGGGUGUGUAAGCGCAGCGAUGCGUUGAGCUAACCGGUACUAAUGAACCGUGAGGCUUAACCUUACA
rnacentral:rRNA from 1 species